rnacentral:rRNA from 1 species
UACGUAGGGUCCGAGCGUUGUCCGGAAUUAUUGGGCGUAAAGGGCUCGUAGGCGGUCCGUCACGUCGGGAGUGAAAACUCAGGGCUCAACCCUGAGCGUGCUUCCGAUACGGGCGGACUAGAGGUAUGCAGGGGAGAACGGAAUUCCUGGUGUAGCGGUGGAAUGCGCAGAUAUCAGGAGGAACACCGGUGGCGAAGGCGGGUCUCUGGGCCGAUACUGACGCUGAGGAGCGAAAGCGUGGGGAGCGAACCGG